rnacentral:rRNA from 1 species
UACGUAGGGGGCAAGCGUUGUCCGGAAUCAUUGGGCGUAAAGAGCGUGUAGGCGGUCCGGUAAGUCCGCUGUGAAAGUCGGGGGCUCAACCCUCGAAUGCCGGUGGAUACUGUCGGGCUAGAGUGCGGAAGAGGCGAGUGGAAUUCCUGGUGUAGCGGUGAAAUGCGCAGAUAUCAGGAGGAACACCUAUUGCGAAGGCAGCUCGCUGGGACGUAACUGACGCUGAGGAGCGAAAGCGUGGGGAGCGAACAGG